AGCCUAUACAGGUGUUUGCAGUGCUGUCGUCAGCUCGUGUCGUGAGAUGUUCGGUUAAGUCCGCUUAACGAGCGCAACCCUCGUCGUAUGCUAUAUGUGUCAUACGAGACUGCCGGUAAAAGCCGGAGGAAGGUGAGGAUGAUGUCAAGUCAGCAUGACCUUUAUAUCCAGGGCUACACACACGCUACAAUGGUCUGUACAAUGGGUAGCCAAGCCGCGAGGCGGAGCCAAUCCUGGAAGCAGGCCUCAGUUCAGAUUGCAGUCUGCAACUCGACUGCAUGAAGCCGGAGUUGCUAGUAACCGCAGGUCAGCAAUACUGCGGUGAAUACGUUCCCGGGUCUU
rnacentral:rRNA from 1 species